rnacentral:rRNA from 1 species
AACGAACGCUGGCGGCAGGCUUAACACAUGCAAGUCGAACGAGAUCUUCGGAUCUAGUGGCAGACGGGUGAGGAACACGUGGGAACAUCCCUUUCAGUUCGGAAUAACGUUGGGAAACUAACGCUAAUACCGGAUACGUCCUUCGGGAGAAAGAUUUAUCGCUGAAAGAUUGGCCCGCGUCUGAUUAGCUAGUUGGCGAGGUAAUGGCUAACAAAGGCUACGAUCAGUAGCUGAUCUGAGAGGAUGAUCAGCCACAUUGGGACUGAGACACGGCCCAAACUCCUACGGGAGGCAGCAGUGGGGAAUAUUGGACAAUGGGCGCAAGCCUGAUCCAGUCAUGCCGCGUGAGUGAUGACGGCCUUCGGGUUGUAAAGCUCUUUUGUCCGGGAAGAUAAUGACUGUACCGGAAGAAUAAGCCCCGGCAAACUUCGUGCCAGCAGCCGCGGUAA